GCGCCUGCGGCGGACCCGGCACGGUUCUUUUCCCAUGCUUCGCAGGCAGCAAAACCGUGUACGGUCUGGUACUUCCCGGAAUCUUCCGGGCUUUAAUGCCUUCU
rnacentral:sRNA from 1 species